GUAAGGCAGGCAGACAGACAGACAGACAGGCGGUCAUGUUAAGUUAAGGAUUCUCUUGUCAUGAUUGCUUAGUAAAGAUUCCAUAUGCCUUCAUAUAUGUUUUUCACUUUAGGUUUAAGGUACUGGCUAACUCUUGCACUAGUGAGGUGGACAGCAGAGUGUACUGGUGGAGCAAGUAGGGAAGGUACUGGCUAACUCUUGCACUAGUGAGGUGGACAGCAGAGUGUACUGGUGGAGCAAGUAGGGAAGGUACUGGUUAACUCUUGCACUUAGUGAGGUGGACAGCAGAGUGUACUGGUGGAGCAAGUAGGGAAGGUACUGGCUAACUCUUGCACUAGUGAGGUGGACAGCAGAGUGUACUGGUGGAGCAAGUAGGGAAGUUACUGGUUAACCAAACUUAAUAUCCUUUAAAAAUUUGGUGUGUUAAAAAAAAACUACAAAAAUGUCAUUAAUUUUAGCACCUCUGAUUACACAUAAAUAAGAACACAUCAUUAUGAACACUUCUCCCAAUGGCAUUUUGUAAUUAAUGAGAUUAAAACACAUUACUUUUUUUUCUAUGUAGGAGUGACACUGGCCAAGGGCAACAAAAAUCCAAUAAAAAAAAUGCCCACUGAAAUGUCAGUCCCAUAAAAGGGUAAAAGCAGUGGUCAAAAAUUGAA